UUCAACAUAUUUUUACAGCUAACACACGGUAAACAUUACAUUAAAAAUUACAUCAAUCAAGUAUCACACAAUUACAUGAUGUACUGAGCUCUUGGAACCAAACACAUGACAGGUUGUAAGUGCCGGCAAUGCGCAUUACUUACCAUGGGGAAAAGAUCCGGCUAUUAUUCACAAUUCUGCAUAUCUAACUACUGUUUUGGAGUUUAUGCUGAUAUACAGAAAAAGUCAUCAUUUUGGGGCAAUUUGCUGAGGAUUUUGAUAUUUAUCA